AGCGUAGACGGUGUGGCAAGUCUGAUGUGAAAGGCAUGGGCUCAACCUGUGGACUGCAUUGGAAACUGUCAUACUUGAGUGCCGGAGGGGUAAGCGGAAUUCCUAGUGUAGCGGUGAAAUGCGUAGAUAUUAGGAGGAACACCAGUGGCGAAGGCGGCUUACUGGACGGUAACUGACGUUGAGGCUCGAAAGCGUGGAAGCAAACA
rnacentral:rRNA from 1 species